UGGAAGUGAUGAAAUAGAGAUAAUUGGAUGUCUCUUUGAAUGGAGUGUGGGUGAGGAAUGGAGUCAGAUGGGGUGGGAGGAUGGGGAGUGUGUGUGUGUGUGUGUGUGUGUGCUUGUAGAGAAAAGGCUUUAAUGGGGGCACUGAUAACGAGGUGCUGAUUCCGGAGUGCAUCUGAGGCAUGUUGUUAAAUUCCGGGUCCUGUUUAUCAACAUUGCCGAUGAUUAAAGCCCAAGACAAGCUCACCAAGACAAGCCUAGGCAUCUUAAAUCUCUGACAGGUUCGUUAAUGAAAAUGAUCCUGUGAUCUGAUCCAA
rnacentral:snoRNA from 1 species